rnacentral:rRNA from 1 species
AUUGAACGCUGGCGGCAGGCCUAACACAUGCAAGUCGAGCGAGCGGCGGACGGGUGAGUAAUGUAUGGGGACUGCCCGAUAGAGGGGGAUAACUACUGGAAACGGUGGCUAAUACCGCAUACUAGCGGAUAACCCAUAUGGGAUUAGCUAGUAGGAGGGGUAAAGGCUCACCUAGGCGACGAGCCCUAGCGGGUCUGAGAGGAUGAUCGGCCACACUGGGACUGAGAUCCGGCCCAGACUCCGACGGAGGCAGCAGUGGGGAAUAUUGCACAAUGGGCGCAAGCCUGAUGCAGCCAUGCCGCGUGUGUGAAGAAGGUCUUAGGAUUGUAAAGUACUUUCAGCAGGGAAGCGUUACCCACAGAGAAAGCACCGGCUAACUCCGUGCCAGCAGCCGCGGUAAUAC